AACGAACGCUGGCGGCAGGCUUAACACAUGCAAGUCGAGCGCAUCCUUCGGGGUGAGCGGCGGACGGGUGAGUAACGCGUGGGAACGUGCCCUCUUCUACGGAAUAGCUUCGGGAAACUGAGAGUAAUGCCGUAUACGCCCGCAAGGGGAAAGAUUUAUCGGAGGAGGAUCGGCCCGCGUUGGAUUAGGUAGUUGGUGGGGUAACGGCCUACCAAGCCGACGAUCCAUAGCUGGUUUGAGAGGAUGAUCAGCCACACUGGGACUGAGACACGGCCCAGACUCCUACGGGAGGCAGCAGUGGGGAAUCUUGGACAAUGGGGGCAACCCUGAUCCAGCCAUGCCGCGUGAUCGAUGAAGGCCUUAGGGUUGUAAAGAUCUUUCAGCUGGGAAGAUAAUGACGGUACCAGCAGAAGAAGCCCCGGCUAACUCCGUG
rnacentral:rRNA from 1 species